AUUGAACGCUGGCGGCAUGCUUUACACAUGCAAGUCGAACGGUAACAGGUUAAGCUGACGAGUGGCGAACGGGUGAGUAAUGCAUCGGAACGUGCCCGAUCGUGGGGGAUAACGCAGCGAAAGCUGCGCUAAUACCGCAUACGAUCUGAGGAUGAAAGCGGGGGACCGUAAGGCCUCGCGCGAUCGGAGCGGCCGAUGUCAGAUUAGGUAGUUGGUGGGGUAAAGGCUCACCAAGCCGACGAUCUGUAGCUGGUCUGAGAGGACGACCAGUCACACUGGGACUGAGACACGGCCCAGACUCCUACGGGAGGCAGCAGUGGGGAAUUUUGGACAAUGGGCGCAAGCCUGAUCCAGCAAUGCCGCGUGCAGGAUGAAGGCCCUCGGGUUGUAAACUGCUUUUGUACGGAACGAAAAGGUUUCUACUAAUACUAGGAGCUCAUGACGGUACUGUAAGAAUAAGCACCGGCUAACUACGUGCCAGCCGCCGCGGUAA
rnacentral:rRNA from 1 species